GUGUUGUAUGAAAGGAGAGGUCAGCACACCCCUUGACAAGGAUGGAAGAGGCCCUUGGCCUAAUAAUCUGCAUAUGGUUAAGGCAUUACCAACUGCUUUGUGGCAUGUAACCAUUGCCUUUU
ensembl:snRNA predicted gene, 23226